rnacentral:rRNA from 1 species
GCGAACGCUGGCGGCAGGCUUAACCCAUGCAAGUCGAACGGGCAUAGCAAUAUGUCAGUGGCAGACGGGUGAGUAACGCGUGGGAACGUACCUUUUGGUUCGGAACAACACAGGGAAACUUGUGCUAAUACCGGAUAAGCCCUUACGGGGAAAGAUUUAUCGCCGAAAGAUCGGCCCGCGUCUGAUUAGCUAGUUGGUAGGGUAAUGGCCUACCAAGGCGACGAUCAGUAGCUGGUCUGAGAGGAUGAUCAGCCACAUUGGGACUGAGACACGGCCCAAACUCCUACGGGAGGCAGCAGUGGGGAAUAUUGGACAAUGGGCGAAAGCCUGAUCCAGCCAUGCCGCGUGAGUGAUGAAGGCCCUAGGGUUGUAAAGCUCUUUUGUGCGGGAAGAUAAUGACGGUACCGCAAGAAUAAGCCCCGGCUAACUUCGUG